rnacentral:rRNA from 1 species
AUGCGGUACGCGGCGGGCGACACGCGAUGGCGUGCGACCUUCGCGCCUGAUCUCCUCGCCGCCCGAUCGAUCACGUUCGACGUCGGCGAGAUCGUGCUCCGACAUGAGGCGCUGCGUCUGGUUCUUCUCGAUGGGGAGGGACACCCGGUGGACGCUCGUUCUCUGCGUGAGGGGGAGUACUUCGACAUCGGGCAUAUUGUGGCGUUCCCAUGUUUUUUCGCCAGGAUCUGGGAUAGGCUGCCGGUGCCCACGGCGGUGCCGGAGUCGGUGAUCGACCCCGGCGGACCGUCACGUCUGGAUGGGAGACGCGGUCGCACUCCACCAAGAAGGUCGAGCGACCCGGGGGUGCUGGGUGCGGGACCUAGGGGUGGCACCCCACCACCCAUGGCGGAUGCGACACACGUGGACGGUGAUCUGGGCCGCCAUGAGAGACGCGGUGCGGGCGCCGCGGGUAUAAAUCCUGAAUCCUUCCAUCCCCUCGACCUUGAUUCCGCCCUUUCCCAUCUCUGGGCGGCGGCGAAAAACCCUAGAUCCAGCAUCCCACCUUCCUUCCACUGGUGGCGCGGCAAGGUUGGGGGUGACGAGAGGUCGUUUGCGGAGGUCGCGGCCUCUCCGGUGCAGGCCUCUCUGAUGGCUGGUGGCGGGGAGCGCGGCUACCGGGGCGACAAACGCGAAGGCGGUGGAUCUGGGCGGAUGGAGCGGGGAGCUGGACGUUUCGACCGCGGGCGCAAGUUCUCCUGGCGGAGAAACGAUGGAGAGGCCGACCACAUCUCCUCCAACAACGACCACUCCACGGGCGCAGUGGACCGAUGGGAAGCUGCUGCGGCUGGGUGUCAAGAUGUGAGAUCCGGCGGGGUUUGGGUGGAGAGGCCCAAGGCUGCGUCUGGAUCUGGUGGGGGGACAACAUCGACAAGCAGCCUGGAGAGAUGCCACAGCGCCGCGUGCAGGGCAACCAAGGCAAUCAGGUGA